rnacentral:rRNA from 1 species
CAGCNUUGUUUAAUGAUUAAAACUCCGGUGGUAAAAGAUGGGCNUGCGUGACAUUAGUUUGUUGGUGAGGUAAUGGCUCACCAAGACUACGAUGUCUAGGGGUUCUGAGAGGAUUAUCCCCCACACUGGUACUGAGACACGGACCAGACUCCUACGGGAGGCAGCAGUGAGGACUAUUGNNCAAUGGACNANAGUCUGACCCAGCCNUGCNGCGUGCAUGAUGACGGCCCUAUGGGUUGUAAACUGCUUUUAUAUGGGAAGAAACCCAAGGACGUGUCCUUGGCUGACGGUACCAUACGAAUAAGGAUCGGCUAACUCCGUGCCAGCAGCCGCGGUAAUACGGAGGAUCCAAGCGUUAUCCGGAUUUAUUGGGUUUAAAGGGUGCGCAGGCGGCCUUAUAAGUCAGUGGUGAAAUCUCCCGGCUCAACCGGGAAACUGCCAUUGAUACUGUAAGGCUAGAAUACAGACGAGGUAGGCGGAAUGUANCAUGUANCGGUGAAAUGCUUA